AGUGAACGCUGGCGGUAGGCCUAACACAUGCAAGUCGAACGGCAGCACAGAGGAGCUUGCUCCUUGGGUGGCGAGUGGCGGACGGGUGAGGAAUAUAUCGGAAUCUACUCUGUCGUGGGGGAUAACGUAGGGAAACUUACGCUAAUACCGCAUACGACCUACGGGCGAAAGCAGGGGAUCUUCGGACCUUGCGCGAUUGACUGAGCCGAUGUCGGAUUAGCUAGUUGGCGGGGUAAAGGCCCACCAAGGCGACGAUCCGUAGCUGGUCUGAGAGGAUGAUCAGCCACACUGGAACUGAGACACGGUCCAGACUCCUACGGGAGGCAGCAGUGGGGAAUAUUGGACAAUGGGCGCAAGCCUGAUCCAGCCAUACCGCGUGGGUGAAGAAGGCCUUCGGGUUGUAAAGCCCUUUUGUUGGGAAAGAAAUCCAUCUGGUUAAUACCCGGAUGGGAUGACGGUACCCAAAGAAUAAGCACCGGCUAACUUCGUGCCAGCCGCCGCCGUAA
rnacentral:rRNA from 1 species